GUCUAUAUAGUUUAUUUAAAAUAUUAAUUUGUGGAGUUAAUGAUGCAUAUUAUAGCUUUAGGCA
rnacentral:tRNA from 1 species